rnacentral:rRNA from 1 species
UACGUAGGGGGCAAGCGUUGUCCGGAUUUAUUGGGCGUAAAGAGCGUGUAGGCGGCUAGAUAGGUCCGUUGUGAAAACUCGAGGCUCAACCUCGAGACGCCGGUUGAAACCAUCAGGCUAGAGUCCGGAAGAGGAGAGUGGAAUUCCCGGUGUAGCGGUGAAAUGCGCAGAUAUCGGGAAGAACACCCGUGGCUAAGGCGGCUCUCUAGUACGGUACUGACGCUGAUGCGCGAAAGCGUGGGGAGCAAACGGGGAUUAAAAA